AUCCAGAGAGAAUCGCGCAGAUUUCCUAUCUGUGAGGAAAGUCCGUGCUCGCACAGGCUGAGAUGUCUGUAGUGUUCGUGCCUAGCGAAACCGUAAGCUAGGGCAAUCUGGCGUAAGCUGGGUUGACGGCAGGGAAAGUCACCUAAGUCUAGGUCAAGCGUAAGCACUAGAUAUGGGACGAAUACCUUGAAAGUGCCACAGUGACGGAGCUUCAAAGGAAACUUUGAAGGUGGAACGAGGUAAACCCCACGAGCGAGAAACCCAAAUUUGGUAGGGGAAGUGUCUAGCGGGAAUGGAACCAACAGACACCAUGAAUCUAUUCAUGAGAUAGAUGAUUCUCCAUGUUGUGCGAGGUCAUUUGGCCGAAUGCAGCACAUCAUGAACAAAACACGGCUUAUGCGG
rnacentral:RNase_P_RNA from 1 species